AACGAACGCUGGCGGCAGGCUUAACACAUGCAAGUCGAGCGCCCCGCAAGGGGAGCGGCAGACGGGUGAGUAACGCGUGGGAACGUACCCUUUGCUACGGAAUAGCUCCGGGAAACUGGAAUUAAUACCGUAUGUGCCCUACGGGGGAAAGAUUUAUCGGCAGAGGAUCGGCCCGCGUUGGAUUAGCUAGUUGGUGGGGUAAUAGCCUACCAAGGCGACGAUCCAUAGCUGGUCUGAGAGGAUGAUCAGCCACAUUGGGACUGAGACACGGCCCAAACUCCUACGGGAGGCAGCAGUGGGGAAUAUUGGACAAUGGGGGCAACCCUGAUCCAGCCAUGCCGCGUGAGUGAUGAAGGCCUUAGGGUUGUAAAGCUCUUUCACCGGGGAAGAUAAUGACGGUACCCGGAGAAGAAGCCCCGGCUAACUUCGUGCCAGCAGCCGCAGUAACAC
rnacentral:rRNA from 1 species